UACGUAGGGUGCAAGCGUUAAUCGGAAUUACUGGGCGUAAAGCGUGCGCAGGCGGUUAUGCAAGACAGAUGUGAAAUCCCCGGGCUCAACCUGGGAACUGCGUUUGUGACUGUAUGACUAGAGUACGGUAGAGAGGGGUGGAAUUCCUGGUGUAGCAGUGAAAUGCGUAGAUAUCAGGAGGAACAUCGAUGGCGAAGGCAGCCCCUUGGACCUGUACUGACGCUCAUGCACGAAAGCGUGGGGAGCAAACAGG
rnacentral:rRNA from 1 species